AGGGCUUCAAAUAAUUUGAUUUUCGUUAUUGUUUCUUACUUACUAUUUGUGAGGCAAUAUCAUCACUCAAUGGAGCCCAAAAAUUUGUUCCCCUCGCUAUCCAGGGCGGUAUUUGUAUUUGUGCUGUACUUGGACGUCGGGGACUACAUUG
rfam:Citrus clementina cultivar Clemenules unplaced genomic scaffold scaffold_6, whole genome shotgun sequence.